UACGGGGGGGGCAAGCGUUGUUCGGAAUUACUGGGCGUAAAGGGUUCGUAGGUGGCCAACUAAGUCAGACGUGAAAUCCCUCAGCUUAACUGGGGAACUGCGUCUGAUACUGGUUGGCUUGAGUGCAGGAGAGGAACGCGGAAUUCCAGGUGUAGCGGUGAAAUGCGUAGAUAUCUGGAGGAACACCGGUGGCGAAGGCGGCGUUCUGGACUGCAACUGACACUGAGGAACGAAAGCCAGGGGAGCAAAC
rnacentral:rRNA from 1 species